AGAGCGCCCCGGGCAGCGAGAGCGCUCCCUGCACCCAGCCCUGCUCCGGGCUCCCCACCGCGGCCCUUUUCUUAGGUUGUAGACACUCCCGCCCCUGCACGUUCCGAAAGCUGCACAUCCAGCGGGAAAAGGCGAGAAUGGGGUCGGGCAGUUCCCAACGUCCCCCUCCACAGCCCAUCUCCGAGCACCCUAGGGGCAAUGCCAAGCAAGCGAAAGACCACAGCGAGGCGGUUCCUCGCUGUUACUUUAAAACAAAGUGUGUGUUUUCUAUGUUGGGAUGUUAAGGAAAAACAAACAGGUAAAAUAAGAUGCUUGUAGUCACGACUCAGUGGGUAAAAUGCUGUUUCUAUUUAUCUCCUCUUCCUUCCAUCUCUGCUAUCUGCCUGCCUCUCUCUCUUUUUAUGAUUUUCUUUGUUUUAUCACACAGGGAAUAUGCAAAUGCAUUUUCAUUGUAAGAAGUUGAAACAAUGCAGGAGAUUACAAAGUAAAAUGUGAACACCAUAUUGCAACUCGCCACCCCCAUUCCACUUUCCUCCACCCUGGUAAAACCACUGCCUGCCAUUUGGUAUGCGACAUUCACUCCUAUUCCACGCAUUUACAAGUAUGUGAAAGUACACAUUCGGAUAUACACAAAUAUAACAUUAUUGCAUAUAUGCACAUAUGUACAUGCACACAUAACUUUUUUGCAGUUUUAUGUCAUGGAGACCAUACAGUAAGUGUUCUUCAGAUUGUCAUUUUCAUGUACUAAUAUGUCUUAAGGAGCUGUCAAUGACAGAACAUACAGGUCUUUUACGCCAUAGCUCUCUUUCUAAUAGCUGCAAAUUCCAAACUGUGGAUUUCUCAUGGAUUAUUUAACCUCCCAUUAUUUACAUUUCUGGUGUUUCUUUUUUUAAAUUUUUUAUUUUCUUUCUCUUUUUUGUCAUUACAAACAGGAAGCAAUGAUUAUUGUAUUAGUUAUUUACUGCUGCCUAACACAAUACUCCAAAAAGUAGUGGCUUAAAAGUAUAAUAAAUAUUUAUAAUCACUCACAUUUUUUGCCAGUCAGGAAUUCACAGCUUCUUGGGUGGGUGGUUUCUGGCUCAGUGUUUUGCAUGGGCUUGCAGUCAAGAUGUUGACUGAGGCGUCAGUCAAAUGAGGCUUGACUAGGCCUGCAGGAUCUAUUUGCUCUCAGAGCUGGCAAGUGGAUGUGGGCUGUUGGUGGCAGCCCUUAGUUUCUCACCCAUGUGGGUCUCUCCACAAGGCUAAUUGAGUGUCCUCACAACAUGGUGGCUGUUUCCAUCAUAGCCAGUCAUUCGAGAGAGCAAAGUAGAAGCAUAGGGCCUUUUAUGACCUAGCCUCCGAAGUCACACAUUGUCACUUUGGCCACAUUCUAUUCAUUAGGAGUAAGUCAUUAAGUGUAGCCCUUUUGUGAAGGGAAGGGUAUCAAAGAAUUUGUGAACAUAUUUUAAAACCACUAGUAUUACCCUUAUACAUAAUCUUUGUGUAGUUGUGUGACUAUUUCCUUAGAAUACAUUUCUAGAACUGGAAUUGCUGGGUCUAGCAAUAUAUGCACUUUUAACUUUGAUAAUUCCUCCUGUUUGUAUUAGAAACUGUUCACUGUCCCCCUACUAUCCAUUUUCUCUUUUCUUCCUUUUAGCAAUGAAUCUCCUGAGUUUCAGGUGGGUAUGAGUUGAGAAUAUAUUUUCCACCCCCCUUGCUACUACAUGGGGACGUGUAACUAAGUUAUGACUGAUGAGAAGCAUUGUGUGCAAUUUCUGAAUCAGGUCCUUAAAAUACGCUGUUUGUUGUACUUCUGCUUUCCCCAGGGAGAAAUCUAUUCAGAGAACAGAUGUGGUAGUGGGAGUCAGCUUCCAGCAGGUGAUGCAGGUAACACCCCUGGGGAUGGUGGUACAAUGUACAGAAAGAACCUGUGUCCUUGUAUAACCUUGUGGAGCCGAGCCAGCCUUCUUUCCAGGACUUUCUACUAGCUUAGACUUUUGUAUGAGAAAAAAAUAAAAUAAAGCUUUUAUCUUGUUUCAGCCACUGUUACUUACUGAUGAUUUGCCUCCUCGAAAGCCUCCCCAACAAUGUAUGAGUAUCCAUUUCCUCCAUCCUUGCCCACACUAGAUAUUAUCAAUCUUCAAAAAGCUAUCAAUCUGAUGCCCCCCUAACUUAUGACUUCAUAAUCUCCUUCACGUGCUAUUGCUAGGGGCAGGGUGAAGGAUAUUGAUAUAAAAUUCAAGAAAAAAACCUACCACAAUCAUAUUAAUAGAAAACACAAAGAUAUAAUCUUGCUUUUGAGAAAGAAACUGCAAUUUCAAAAGGACUCAUACAUCCCCCCAUAGACUCUGCAUGGAUGCUGUGCCUUCCCUCAAAGGCAUUACAGACUAACUGGGAAAAGGUAUCUGGACAUAGAAAACUAGCAGUACAGAGUGGAACAGUCUGGCUGGCUAAUUCCUGGUACUGACCCAGGGAGAUUGAGAAGGGAGCUGUGAUGGAGGACAUUUAGCCUCCCAAAGUCAGUGGUUCAUGAAUUUCGUAUGCUAUUCGGGUGAGAAGCAGGGAGAACGGAGUGGACUAUCUGGGAGAAAGUUGUGGCAAAUGCUAAGGGUACAGGCUCUGGAGUUAGACUGUCUACAUUCAUGUCCCAUCCCUGCCACUUCACUCUGUUGGCACAUACUUACUGAGUGCCUUCUGCAAGCAAGAUACUAUUGGUGAGGCUGGGCAUUCCACGAGAAACUCUGCUGUAACUGGAUCUUCCUUUCAGAGUGCUGAGACAGAUGACGACAGGCUGGGCUUCAGUUCCCUCACCUGGAGAGUGAUGAGAACACCAGCGCAAAAUUCCAGGGCCAUUGGGAAGAUGGAAUGAAAUAGUACAUGUAAUGGCUCGCAUCCAUAGUGCCUGGAACAUAACAAAUGCUCGUAAAGGAACAGAUUGCUCAAAAAUCAGACGACUGUUGGGUGAAAUGCGAGUGGGGAAAGGAGUGAGAUGAAGGGAACAGAGCCCUUCCAAACUCGCCCUUCAGCCUUCCUACCCAAUCAGAAAGGAAAUCAGUCAUGCCCACAAUCCUGCCAAUAACACAGUGUAGCGGCUGCAUUCUUUGGACCAAUGACAGUGAGCUGUAGAAGAAAUCUCAUUUGGAGAAGAGAUGGGGGCUUGUGUUUACUGAACAUCUACUACGAAUCAGGCCCUGUGCUUUUUUUUGCAUCUGUUCUCUUCUAAAGGGGAAUCAGGAUCCUGGCUGAGGGACCCUGGACUAUUUCACCUUUCAGGAUCUCAGUUUCUUUAGACCAAAAACACUAACUCUUAUUUUUUUGUUGCACUUUUUUAAAAAAAAUUAAACUUUAAGUUCUGGGGUACAUGUGCAGAAUGUGCAGGUUUGUUACAUAGGUAUACAAGUGCCAUGGUGGUUUGCUGCACCCAUCAACCCAUCAUCUACACUAGAUAUUUCAACUGAUGCUAUCCCUCCCCUAGCCCCCCAACCCCAAGACAGGCCCCAGUGUGUGAUGUUCCCUUCCCUGUGUCCAUGUGUUCUCAUUGUUCAGCUCCCACUUAUGAGUGAGAACAUGUGGUGUUUGGUUUUCUGUUCUUGUGUUAAUUUGCUGAGAAAGAUGGUUUCCAGCUUCAUCCAUGUCCCUGCAAAGGACAUGAACUCAUCCUUUUUAAUGGCUGCAUAGUAUUCCAUGGUGCAUAUCUGCCACAUUUUCUUUAUCCAGUCUAUCAUUGAUAGGCAUAAUUCCUAUUCUUUAAAAAAUUUUUUUUUGUAGAGAUGGGGUCUUGGUAUGUUUCCCAGGCUGGUCUCAAACUCCUGGGCUCAAGUGAUCCUCCCACCUUGGCCUCCCAAAGUUCUGGGAUUAUAGGUAUGAGCCACCACACUAAUUCAUAUUCUAAUAAUUCUUUCUGGCAUCAGGGACAAGUCUUGGGGUUAUUCAGACCUAGCUCCACCCUUUUGGGUAAAUUACUUAUUAUCUCUGAGCCUCAGUUUCUUCAUCUCUAAAAUGGGGAUGGGAAUCAAGAUCAAAUGAAAAAAUGUAUUUAAGACAUCUUUUUAAAAUGGACAGCUAAUAGUGAUGGUGUUUAAUCUUUCCUUCAUAAUAUGCACAUUUUCACCCUCUUAGAGAUUUUUUUAUAUUUUUUACAGGUUGGAAUGGUGGUUUUCCAGGUGGUAUGAGUAUGUGUGAGUGUGAGUGUGUGUGUGUGUGUGUGUGUGUGUGUGUGUGUGUGUGUGUGUGUGUGUGUUCUUUUUAUUCUUGAUGAAAAUAGUCUGAGGAAGAGACAGCUGAGGUUUUUUAUAGUAAUCUCGUCACUAAUGACAACCAGACCCUGGCCUCCAUAAAUGCUACUGGGCAUUCAGUCAAGGGGUAGCUAGUAUCCCAAGAUGUUCCCUAGCAAAUCAGACCUCCCCUAGUGAAUCACAUCACCCUUGUGUGAUCCCCUCCCACACUGAAUCUGAGCUGGCCUGUGACUUGCUUUAACCAAUAAAGUGUGUUGGAAGUGACA